UAGUAAUCACUGCCAGUUAAAAAUUAUUUGUGUACCAUCAAUCUAGAGCCAAAAAAUUUGCAAUUUUUCAGUAGGCUGUCAAUAUACUGAUGACUACACGUUUAAAUUUAAUACAGAAAUACAUGCCAACUCCACGUAGAUUAUAAAUUGUAUAACUAUUAAGUAUAAAGAAAGACAUUUGAAAUAGUAAAAAUUAAGCUUUCAAGAUAUAUGUCUUAUUGGAACAUCAUUAUGCAUGCUAUUAAACUGGCCAAGUAUUGUCUGUAGAAGGAAUAGGUGCAUCAUACGAUCUCCUCGCUGGCGGGUGCUUUUGGCCGGAGGAAGUAGCAGGUACAUGAUGUAACACAUUGAUGGAUUCCUUCGCACGCUAGCUAGCUAGCUUAUUGAUGCGUUCCGUCUCGACUCGCACGGAUACCAUGGAAAGUACGUACAUAGAUCUAUUUGAUAACAUGCAGCUCAUAGUUUGUACCGGCCACCUGAAAAUCCAUCCACAUGCCAACUUCAAGUACUUGCUCAUCUCUUCGUGACUUAUUUGUCAGUCCAACUACUCAUCAUCACAAAAAAAAAAUCUAUGAAACAAAGGCAUGAUUGAUCAAUCAAUAUGCUCGUUAGUUUAACUUCUAGAUGGCCAUGAACCUGUUUUCUUUCUACUACUAUCUAAGAUGACAGAGGCAUCAGAUAGAACAGGAGUAGUAGGAUUACCUGAUGGCAUUAGGCUGGUUGGCGAGUCGCAACAGCAGCAGGCCACGGCCAGCAUGGACGCACCCUCACCGCCGGGCUACCACGCGUAGCACACUUGAAGUUGCGCCCACCCCACCCCACGUAUGCAUGGCUGGAACAUGCAGGAUGCAGCAUGGCCGCAUGCAUUAACGCCCGCCCCG
rnacentral:lncRNA from 1 species